UUGCCAAUGCAGAGUUUGCAUUAAUGCAGCUAAUCCAGCAGCUGGGUAUGGGAGCCUGAACUCCUCCCUGCAGUAGCACUAAUGAAAAGGCAGCACAAGAGGGUAAGAGAAUCCUCACAGUUCUCCAGCCAGCUGAGUGCCAGCUCCCCUGAUCAGCCACAUUUUGGCUUUGAUUCUCUUCCUCGGGACUUUCUCUUUUCUCAAAAUGGUCAUGGAUGACUCUAUAUAACUAAGAGAUGUAUAGGAAAUUAAUACAGAGUGAAUGUGCAGGAAAUACAUUAAGCCUGCUUUUUUUCAAUUUCAAUAGAAAGGCUGAAGGAUGAGACCAAGAAGAAGCAACAGGAAAGCAAAAGCACAAAAAUAGAGUGGAAAGAGCUUGGAACUCAGAGUAACCUGUUAGGUUGGGUUUCAGCCCAGAUCACUCAUUGUUUCUUUGUGUUUCUCCUGCUUGUGAUCCUCUUGUUACAUGGCUCUCUCCUGCUUGGUGGGACUCAAAUAAAGAAAACUGGUACCCAAGUGCUGUGAGGCCUGGAAGAUUUAAGCCAGCUCUUGCUUAUGGAUGACUGGCCCAGCCUAAGAAGGGAAUAACAAAGCUGCUUGAAUGACAGCUUGGAUCAAGUUCAUAAUGACCUGGUUUGUACAGGCCAGGUGUUAUGUAGAUUGGAGCUUGUUAUUGUGAAAAAUUUUGGCAAGGCUUGCGAUGCAACAGCCAGUUCCAGCAGAGCUGGGCAGAAAGCCACAGACUACAGGCAGGUCCAUCUUCAGCAAGAUGGGCAAAGCAGCCACCCCCUCCUGUACUUGGUACCGUGGGGACCUGAACCAACCUGCCUGCACAGCAUCUGGAAUACAGCUUAUGCAGGAAUAGAGAGCAGUUUCAAAACAUGGCACUCCAGGCUUAAAAACAAAGAGGUGAUCUUGCAUAAAAACACAGUGCCAAGUUUUUGUCUGUUUCUUAGGGAGCAAAGAUUCAGAGCAAAACGGUACAAGCCACCCACUACAGUGUUAAUGGACAGUGAGCAAACUGGUACAGAAUGUCCCUAUCAAUAUAUUCUGCAUUUGUUAGGAAGUCUUUCUUAAUACUUCCAUAAUUCACUUUUUAUGUUAUCUAAAAGUAGUUACUAGAGUAAUGUGAAUGAAGACCUGUCGAAAUUAGGGCUCACCUAUGAUUUGUUCUCUCAGUCUUUAUCAUUAAUAUGCACACUAUGAUUUGUUACUGAAGCUAGUUGGACUUCAAUUUUAUUCUUUCUUUAGAUGGCCAUUUUUUUUCAAAAGAGGAAGAUUAAAAAAAAAACUUAGGGAAAGUGUCUCGGGUGUAAUUUUUGCAAUAAUAAUUAAUGUGGAACUCAAGAAAUAGGGACUCUUUUCAUCAAUACUCAGCAUUUAUUCCUAUGCCCCAAGUUAAUAGAAGGGACUUUACAAAUCAGAGCAAAGCCAGUUAGAUUAAUAGAUUGGGUUUCUAUUUUUCUUAUAUAGACUUAUAAGACUCUGUAAGUGUGGUCACAGUGAUGUUUUUACACUGUACCACAAAAGCUAGUAUAACUCAGGAGAAGAAAUCUGAACUCUGUGAUCUUUACCAGGAUGUUCAUAACUUAACCAAAUAAAUGACAGCUUUUUCCAUGUGGAAUGUUGUAUCAGUUUUCAUAUAGCACCAUGGAAAAGCAGCAGAAAGCCAAGCAGAUAAUGAAAGGCUGACACAAUGGGUUUGCAGCCCAAAGGCACAGCUUCAGUCACGCCUUGGGCUCUGCAGAUACACACCAGCACAGGAGGUUCCCAAAAAGGAUUUUGUCUCAAGGAGGUUGGAUCCUGUUGCAUUCUUCUGGGGAUCCACUGAAGAGAGGAAUGGUCCCUCCAAACAUGCCAGUGGUGAACAAGUCAUCUCCCACAAAGCCAUCCUAUGCACCACAUCCAGGAGGAGCAACAGGAUGGGGAAUAAUGGACCCAAAGCCUCCUAAAGGCAAAGAUCACGAGCUGCUGAAUGCCUUAAUAUUACUGACUGAUUAAGACUGUACCACGACAGUCCACAAACCAAGUGAAGGCCAAGGAGAUGGAAAAUCCCUCUGACCUAAUUGCAGGCUUCAGCAGGGGCAAAAGCUCGACAGUCACAUCCCAAUAAAACAAAAGCUGGCCAGAAAUGGACUUUCCCAGCUUGGCACUUGUCUUAGAAUCACACCCAAGAGACAACACUAUUUAUUUCUGUUCAUUUUCUUACAGUUUCUAGUUCGGCACUUUACUUGCAGGUAAAGUCACGUUGCGGGUGAUUCUUCUCUGAAGUACUUCUCUUGUAAAGUGAGCUUUACAAGUGAGUGAAGAUAUUAAAUAUUUGUCUACAGGAAAGAAAGGCUUUCACAAGUAAACCUAACUUACAGUAUAAUCUUCAUCCAAUAAAGCUGUAUUAGAUCAAACAGUA